rnacentral:rRNA from 1 species
GACGAACGCUGGCGGCGUGCCUAACACAUGCAAGUGGAGCGACGAACCAGGGCUUGCCCUGGGGCGAAGCCGCGAACGGGUGAGUAACACGUGGGUAACCUGCCCCGAUGACUGGGAUAACCCGAGGAAACUCGGGCUAAUACCGGAUGUGCCCUACCGGCGUAAGCCGGCAUGGGAAAGGAAGCUUCGGCCUCCGCAUCGGGAGGGGCCCGCGGCCCAUUAGCUUGUUGGUGAGGUAAAGGCUCACCAAGGCAACAAUGGGUAGCUGGUCUGAGAGGACGAUCAGCCACACUGGGACUGAGACACGGCCCAGACUCCUACGGGAGGCAGCAGUGGGGAAUCUUGCGCAAUGGGCGAAAGCCUGACGCAGCGACGCCGCGUGAGGGAAGAAGGCC